rnacentral:rRNA from 1 species
CCGGUUGAUCCCGCCGGAGGUUACUGCUAUCGAGGUUCGACUAAGCCAUGCGAGUCGAAUGUAGCAAUACAUGGCGAACUGCUCAGUAACACGUGGACAACCUGCCCUUAGGUUGGGUAUAAACCCGGGAAACUGGGUAUAAUACCCGAUAGGUCUCGAUUGCUGGAAUGCAUCGAGAUUUAAAGCUCCGGCGCCUAAGGAUGGGUCUGCGGCCUAUCAGGUAGUAGUGGGUGUAGCGUACCUACUAGCCUACGACGGGUACGGGUUGUGAGAGCAAGAGCCCGGAGAUGGAUUCUGAGACACGAAUCCAGGCCCUACGGGGUGCAGCAGGCGCGAAAACUUUACAAUGCUGGCAACAGCGAUAAGGGAACCUCGAGUGCCAGGUUACAAAUCUGGCUGUCGAGAUGCCUAAAAAGCACUUCAUAGCAAGGGCCGGGCAAGACCGGUGCCAGCCGCCGCGGUAACACCGGCGGCUCGAGUGGUAACCGUUAUUAUUGGGUCUAAAGGGUCUGUAGCCGGCCGGAUAAGUCUCUUGAGAAAUCUGGCAGCUUAACUGUCAGGCUUUCAGGAGAUACUGUCUGGCUCGAGGCCGGGAGAGGUGAGAGGUACUUCAGGGGUAGGGGUGAAAUCUUGUAAUCCUUGAAGGACCACCAGUGGCGAAGGCGUCUCACCAGAACGGACCUGACGGCAAGGGACGAAAGCUAGGGGCACGAACCGGAUUAGAUACCCGGGUAGUCCUAGCCGUAAACGAUACUCGCUAGGUGUCGGCCACGGUGCGACCGUUGUCGGUGCCGUAGGGAAGCCGUGAAGCGAGCCACCUGGGAAGUACGGCCGCAAGGCCGAAACUUAAAGGAAUUGGCGGGGGAGCACCACAACAGGUGGAGCCUGCGGUUUAAUUGGAUUCAACGCCGG